GAGGGUGACAGGUGGUGCAUGGUUGUCGUCAGCUCGUGUCGUGAGAUGUUGGGUUAAGUCCCGCAACGAGCGCAACCCCUAUUGUUAGUUGCCAUCAUUCAGUUGGGCACUCUAGCGAGACUGCCGGUAAUAAACCGGAGGAAGGUGGGGAUGACGUCAAAUCAUCAUGCCCCUUAUGACCUGGGCUACACACGUGCUACAAUGGUUGGUACAACGAGUUGCGAGUCGGUGACGGCGAGCUAAUCUCUUAAAGCCAAUCUCAGUUCGGAUUGUAGGCUGCAACUCGCCUACAUGAAGUCGGAAUCGCUAGUAAUCGCGGAUCAGCACGCCGCGGUGAAUACGUUCCCGGGCCUU
rnacentral:rRNA from 1 species